rnacentral:rRNA from 1 species
GAUGAACGCUGGCGGCGUGCCUAAUACAUGCAAGUCGAGCGAACAGACGAUGCGCUUGCUCCUCUGACGUUAGCGGCGGACGGGUGAGUAACACGUGGAUAACCUACCUAUAAGACUGGGAUCAUUUCGGGAAACCGGAUCUAAUACCGUAUAAUAUCUUGAACCGCAUUGUUCAAUAGUGAAAUACGGUUUUUCUGUCACUUAUAGAUGGAUCCGCGCCGGAUUAGCUAGUUGGUAAGGUCACGGCUUACCAAGGCGACGAUGCGUAGCCGACCUGAGAGAGUGAUAGCCCACACGGGAACUGAGACACGGUCAAGACGACUAAGGGAGGCAGCAGUAGGGAAUCUUACGCAAUGGGCGAAAGCAUGACAGAGCAACGGCGCGUGAGAGAUGAAGGUCUUCGGAUCGUAAAAAUCUGUAAUGAGGGAAGAACAAAUGCGGAAGGAACUAUGGAGGGAUUGACGGUAACUAAUAAGAAAGCAACGGCUAACUACGUG